rnacentral:rRNA from 1 species
CAGUCGCCGCGGGAAUACGUAGGGUCCGAGCGUUGUCCGGAAUUACUGGGCGUAAAGAGCUCGUAGGUGGUUUGUCGCGUUGUUCGUGAAAACUCACAGCUUAACUGUGGGCGUGCGGGCGAUACGGGCAGACUAGAGUACUGCAGGGGAGACUGGAAUUCCUGGUGUAGCGGUGGAAUGCGCAGAUAUCAGGAGGAACACCGGUGGCGAAGGCGGGUCUCUGGGCAGUAACUGACGCUGAGGAGCGAAAGCGUGGGGAGCGAACAGGAUUAGAUACCCCCGUAGUCCAUGUCUCUUAUAA